rnacentral:rRNA from 1 species
UACAGAGGUGGCAAGCGUUGUUCGGAAUUACUGGGCGUAAAGCGUGCGUAGGUGGUUUGUUAAGUCUGAUGUGAAAGCCCUGGGCUCAACCUGGGAACUGCAUUGGAAACUGGCUUACUAGAGUGUGGUAGAGGGGUGUGGAAUUCCCGGUGUAGCAGUGAAAUGCGUAGAUAUCUGGAGGAACACCGGUGGCGAAGGCGGCAUCCUGGACCAACACUGACGCUGAGGAGCGAAAGCCAGGGGAGCAAACGGG